GACUAACGCUGGCGGCGUGCCUAACACAUGCAAGUCGAACGAAGCAGCAAUGCUUAGUGGCAGACGGGUGAGUAACGCGUGGACAAUGUGCCCUCUUGCGGGGGAUACCGUUUCGAAAGGAACGUUAAUACCGCAUAAUGCCAUCCUGGGGCAUCCUGGGUUGGCCAAACUUCCGGGGCGGGAGGAGCAGUCCGCGUUCUAUCAGGUAGUUGGUGAGGUAAUGGCUCACCAAGCCUACGACGGAUAACUGGUCUGAGAGGAUGAUCAGUCACACUGGAACUGAGACACGGUCCAGACUCCUACGGGAGGCAGCAGUGAGGAAUAUUGCGCAAUGGGCAAAGCCUGACGCAGCGACGCCGCGUGGAGGAUGAAGGGCCUUCGGGUUGUAAACUCCUGUCAGUGGGGAGGAGAAUGGGACGGUACCCACUGAGGAAGCUUCGGGCUAACUACGUGCCAGCCG
rnacentral:rRNA from 1 species